UGAAAGUCAGAAGGUCCAACUGCUGUUACGAAUUUCCCAUCACACUUGGUAAUUUUUUUCAUGGUCAUACCUUAAAAAUAUUGUCUGUUAGUUGCAUGACCAGGUUCUGAUUAAAAAAGGGUGGUGGAACCCAUAGCACUUACGGACCAGCUAUCCCAAAGCCCUCUGCCGCCAAGCAGCUCUUUGUCAACAAGGUCAAAUAUAGAAAAUAAUACAAGAAUGCUUAACAAUGUUGCUUCUUUGUUCUCUGGACACAGAAAUCAGCCUAAAGAAAAGAAAAAAGCUCACAUAUUGGUCAAUGAAUUCAAGCACUCGCUAUCUGUGCUUUCCAUGAAUUUGCAGCCAUUGACUGUUAGAACAAUUGGUGUUUUUGACUUCCUAUGUGAUUCAACUUCACAAUACUGACUGGUCUUCCACUAAAUGCAAUGCCCCUACUGUUGUUAUGUCUUGAAUAUGAGGUAUGUGUGUGCUUCACUUAUUAUUUUUGCUUUACAUUUUCCGAGGUUUGCACUAUGUCUGCAAUCCAUGGCCAUAGUGAUAGAUAGUUGAACCUAUGGAGUACUUUGAAUUGUUCUUAUCCAUUGCCAGCAAUCAAUGUGUGAAAUUGUUUAUCUGCAACAUUUUUUUGUCUUAUUCAAAGUUUUGUGGAGCAAUAUUUUGUCCAUGCCCAUGGCACAUUUGAUCAAUCUAUUAACUAUGAGCGGCCAUUUACUUGGUUAGCGCACUUACUUCUGAUGCUGUAUAAUAUCUCUGCCCAAUACUCAUGGUUGCGACGCUUGAAUAUGAGAUCAUUGGCCAUGGUCAGCUGACAGCGGUACCACACAUCACACUUAUAGGUGUCAGGACACAUAGCUGGACAACGUGAAAUCGUCAACAUUUGACCGCUAUCGUACAAAACAUUCACAAAUGAGAUGUUUGGCAGAAUGACACCACCAGGAUACCAGCCUUCUGAGCUCCAGGUAAGAAUCUAUAUGAUUACAACAUCUUGUAACAACCUAACGACAGGAUACUUAGAACUUGAUACGGCACAUCGACAUGAGCUGCUUCAACAGGCAGAUGAUGAUGAAGCAACCUCCCGUCCCCGAGAUAUUCCUCGAUGGUCAUUUAGGAUAACGACAAUCAAGGCUGGAAAUCCGACCGCAGCAACAUAGCCCACUGAUCGUUCCUAUAGCUACCUCCAAGUGUAGAAGAAGCUCCAACCAAUCUACUAAUAAUUUUGUAUAAUAUCUAUACCUUGUAAUAUAUUUCAGCCAAGUGAGCAAACCAGGUCUUUCUUUGUAUAAAUAUAGGCCAAAAAAACAUGCUCCUAAACAACUGCAAGCACUAAACAAUUAGCCUCCUGUAUAAUAUCUGUGAAAUCAGGCUUUCAGACGGCGACUAUAUUAGUCCACACUGUGCAUGCCACUUAGCCUCGACUUUA